rnacentral:misc_RNA from 1 species
UAAGGGGAUACACUUCAUCAUGGCAG